UGUUUGGGAAUGCAGCUCAAAAUGGGAGGUAAAUCCCUUCUAAGGCUAAAUAUUGGCGAGAGACCGAUAGCGAACAAGUACCGUGAGGGAAAGAUGAAAAGAACUUUGAAAAGAGAGUUAAAAAGUGCUUGAAAUUGUUGAGGGGGAAGCGUUUGAAAGUCGUAGGUGCACCUAGGCUGAUGCGUCCUUAACGGGCCGCUGUUUGUGCUAGGUGCUGGUCAGCAUGGGUUUGCUGGGCGGGAUAAAAGCCGGGGUUGAUACCUGGUCUAUGCCGCCUAGUCGACCAAGGUGUGAAUGGCGCUCAGUCCUUCGGGAACUGCGUCAUCAAGAUGCUGGCAGAAGGCUUUCAACCGGCCCGUCUUGAAACACGGACC
rnacentral:rRNA from 1 species